rnacentral:rRNA from 1 species
AGUGAACGCUGGCGGUAGGCCUAACACAUGCAAGUCGAACGGCAGCACAGUAAGAGCUUGCUCUUACGGGUGGCGAGUGGCGGACGGGUGAGGAAUACAUCGGAAUCUACUUUUUCGUGGGGGAUAACGUAGGGAAACUUACGCUAAUACCGCAUACGACCUACGGGUGAAAGCAGGGGAUCUUCGGACCUUGCGCGAUUGAAUGAGCCGAUGUCGGAUUAGCUAGUUGGCGGGGUAAAGGCCCACCAAGGCGACGAUCCGUAGCUGGUCUGAGAGGAUGAUCAGCCACACUGGAACUGAGACACGGUCCAGACUCCUACGGGAGGCAGCAGUGGGGAAUAUUGGACAAAGGGCGCAAGCCUGAUCCAGCCAUACCGCGUGGGUGAAGAAGGCCUUCGGGUUGUAAAGCCCUUUUGUUGGGAAAUAAAAGCAGCAGGUUAAUACCCCGCUGUUCUGACGGUACCCAAAGAAUAAGCACCGGCUAACUUCGUG